CCUACGGGUGGCAGCAGUGAGGAAUAUUGGUCAAUGGGCGGGAGCCUGAACCAGCCAAGCCGCGUGAGGGAAGAAGGUUUUCGGAUCGUAAACCUCUGUCAGGAGGGAAGAAAGCGCAUGGCGCCAAUCAGCCAUGCGUUGACGGUACCUCCAAAGGAAGCGCCGGCUAACUCCGUGCCAGCAGCCGCGGUAAUACGGAGGGCGCGAGCGUUAAUCGGAAUUACUGGGCGUAAAGCGCGCGUAGGCUGUUGUGUAAGUUGGGGGUGAAAUCCCACGGCUCAACCGUGGAACAGCCCUUGAUACUGCGCGACUUGAAUCCGGGAGAGGGUGGCGGAAUUCCAGGUGUAGGAGUGAAAUCCGUAGAUAUCUGGAGGAACAUCAGUGGCGAAGGCGGCCACCUGGACCGGUAUUGACGCUGAGGCGCGAAAGCGUGGGGAGCAAACAGGAUUAGAUACCCGUGUAGUC
rnacentral:rRNA from 1 species